rnacentral:rRNA from 1 species
GAGUGGCGGACGGGUGAGUAACACGUGGGUAACCUGCCCAGAAGCAGGGGAUAACACCUGGAAACAGAUGCUAAUACCGUAUAACAGAGAAAACCGCCUGGUUUUCUUUUAAAAGAUGGCUCUGCUAUCACUUCUGGAUGGACCCGCGGCGCAUUAGCUAGUUGGUGAGGUAACGGCUCACCAAGGCGAUGAUGCGUAGCCGACCUGAGAGGGUAAUCGGCCACAUUGGGACUGAGACACGGCCCAGACUCCUACGGGAGGCAGCAGUAGGGAAUCUUCCACAAUGGACGCAAGUCUGAUGGAGCAACGCCGCGUGAGUGAAGAAGGGUUUCGGCUCGUAAAGCUCUGUUGUUAAAGAAGAACGUGGGUGAGAGUAACUGUUCACCCAGUGACGGUAUUUAACCAGAAAGCCACGGCUAACUACGUGCCAGCAGCCGCGGUAAUACGUAGGUGGCAAGCGUUAUCCGGAUUUAUUGGGCGUAAAGCGAGCGCAGGCGGUCUUUUAAGUCUAAUGUGAAAGCCUUCGGCUCAACCGAAGAAGUGCAUUGGAAACUGGGAGACUUGAGUGCAGAAGAGGACAGUGGAACUCCAUGUGUAGCGGUGAAAUGCGUAGAUAUAUGGAAGAACACCAGUGGCGAAGGCGGCUGUCUGGUCUGUAACUGACGCUGAGGCUCGAAAGCAUGGGUAGCGAACAGGAUUAGAUACCCUGGUAGUCCAUGCCGUAAACGAUGAUUACUAAGUGUUGGAGGGUUUCCGCCCUUCAGUGCUGCAGCUAACGCAUUAAGUAAUCCGCCUGGGGAGUACGACCGCAAGGUUGAAACUCAAAAGAAUUGACGGGGGCCCGCACAAGCGGUGGAGCAUGUGGUUUAAUUCGAAGCUACGCGAAGAACCUUACCAGGUCUUGACAUCUUCUGCCAACCUAAGAGAUUAGGCGUUCCCUUCGGGGACAGAAUGACAGGUGGUGCAUGGUUGUCGUCAGCUCGUGUCGUGAGAUGUUGGGUUAAGUCCCGCAACGAGCGCAACCCUUAUUACUAGUUGCCAGCAUUCAGUUGGGCACUCUAGUGAGACUGCCGGUGACAAACCGGAGGAAGGUGGGGACGACGUCAAAUCAUCAUGCCCCUUAUGACCUGGGCUACACACGUGCUACAAUGGAUGGUACAACGAGUUGCGAAACCGCGAGGUUUAGCUAAUCUCUUAAAACCAUUCUCAGUUCGGACUGUAGGCUGCAACUCGCCUACACGAAGUCGGAAUCGCUAGUAAUCGCGGAUCAGCAUGCCGCGGUGAAUACGUUCCCGGGCCUUGUACACACCGCCCGUCACACCAUGAGAGUUUGUAACACCCAAAGCCGGUGGGGUAA